rnacentral:rRNA from 1 species
GGAGGAUGCAAGCGUUAUCCGGAUUCAUUGGGUUUAAAGGGUGCGUAGGCGGCUUUUUAAGUCAGUGGUGAAAUCCUGCCGCUUAACGGUAGAAUUGCCAUUGAUACUGAGAAGCUUGAGUCCAGUUGAGGUAAGCGGAAUGUGUAGUGUAGCGGUGAAAUGCUUAGAUAUUACACAGAACACCGAUUGCGAAGGCAGCUUACUAAACUGUCACUGACGCUGAUGCACGAAAGCGUGGGGAUCGAACAGGAUUAGAUACCCUGGUAGUCCACGCUGUAAACGAUGCUCACUCGCUGUAUGCGAUACACAGUAUGCGGCCAAGCGAAAGCAUUAAGUGAGCCACCUGGGGAGUACGAUCGCAAGGUUGAA